rnacentral:rRNA from 1 species
UACGUAGGGUGCGAGCGUUAAUCGGAAUUACUGGGCGUAAAGCGUGCGCGGGCGGCUUUGCAAGACAGAUGUGAAAUCCCCGGGCUCAACCUGGGAACUGCAUUUGUGACUGCAAGGCUAGAGUACGGCAGAGGGGGAUGGAAUUCCGCGUGUAGCAGUGAAAUGCGUAGAUAUGCGGAGGAACACCAAUGGCGAAGGCAAUCCCCUGGGCCUGUACUGACGCUCAUGCACGAAAGCGUGGGGAGCAAACAGG